rnacentral:tRNA from 1 species
UCCCCUGUGGCUCAGUUGGUAGAGCAUGGUGUGUGCAACGCCAGCAUGGUGUGUGCAACGCCAGCAUGGUGUGUGCAACACCAGGGUUGUGGGUUCGAUUCCCACGGGGGGCC